rnacentral:rRNA from 1 species
AACAAACGCUGGCGGCAUGCCUAACACAUGCAAGUCGAACGAGACCUUCGGGUCUAGUGGCGCACGGGUGCGUAACGCGUGGGAACCUGCCCUUAGGUUCGGAAUAACUCCCCGAAAGGGGUGCUAAUACCGGAUAAUGUCUUCGGACCAAAGAUUUAUCGCCUUUGGAUGGGCCCGCGUUGGAUUAGCUAGUUGGUAGGGUAAAAGCCUACCAAGGCGACGAUCCAUAGCUGGUCUGAGAGGAUGAUCAGCCACACUGGGACUGAGACACGGCCCAGACUCCCACGGGAGGCAGCAGUGGGGAAUAUUGGACAAUGGGCGAAAGCCUGAUCCAGCAAUGCCGCGUGAGUGAUGAAGGCCUUAGGGUUGUAAAGCUCUUUUACCCGGGAUGAUAAUGACAGUACCGGGAGAAUAAGCUCCGGCUAACUCCGUG